rnacentral:rRNA from 1 species
UAGUUUUAAGACUAGCGUAAGAUCAUGAUCAACUGGAGGUAGAGCUACUGAAUGUAUGAUGGCGCCGCCUUGGUGUACUGAAUACAAUUAAACUCCGAAUGCUAAUUGAUUUAUUCUUGCAGUCAGACAGUGGGGGAUAAGCUUCAUUGUCACAAGGGGAAGAGCCCAGAUCAUUAAAUAAGGUCCCUAAAAUAUGCUAAGUGGAAAAGGUUGUUAAAAUACUUAAACAGCAAGGAUGUUGGCUUAGAAGCAGCCAUCGUUUAAAGAGUGCGUAACAGCUCACUUGUCGAGUGUUUUUGCGCCGAAGAUGUAACGGGGCUAAGCAUAUUACCGAAUUUAUGGAUUAUUAUUCGUAAGAAUGAUAGUGGUAGACGAGCGUUGUAUAUGGGAUUAAGUCAAACCGUGAGGAUUGGUGGACUGUAUACAAGUGAGAAUGCCGGUGUAAGUAACGCUUGAGAGUGAGAAUCUCUCAAACCGAUUGACUAAGGUUUCCU